GGCCCCCCGGGAGAGCGCGACACUCCCCCGAACGUCGAUGUCGCGAGUUCGAGUCUCGUCAUCCGCUCCA
rnacentral:tRNA from 1 species